GAGUCCAUUGACCACCUACUAUUUGAGUGUGUGUUCUCUAGGAUCACUUGACAUGAAAUACUAUCAUGGUGCCGUCUCACCGCACCCCCGAUGGACGGCACAAUGAGCUUCUUUGCCUGGUGGUCUCUGGCUGCCAAAACCUCUCCAAGCUGCUUGCGUAAGGUCCUAAGCUCCAUCGCCGCACUGACCGCCUAGGCUAUCUGGAAGCACCGCAACGCUGUCGUCUUCGAUGGCCUACGCCCCUCCAUCAGUGACCUUGUACUAUCGAUCAAGGAUGGUGCUCGCCUCUGGGCCAAGGCGGGCGCCAAGGGAUUAGCCACCGUUUUACCUGUAAUAUGA
rnacentral:rRNA from 1 species